rnacentral:rRNA from 1 species
CUCAAAACUAGCCUAACCAAUUAUUAAACAUAACCCCAUUAAUUAAAUUCACACUCUUCCAAAAAUUAAAACAUUUUACAACUUUUAGUAUGGGUGACAGAACAAAGACUAAGCGCAAUAGAUUUGAGUACCGCAAGGGAAAGUUGAAAAAGAAAUGAAAUAAAUAAUUAAAGUACAAAAAAGCAGAGAUUAAACCUCGUACCUUUUGCAUCAUGAUUUAGCUAGACCAACUAGGCAAAGAGACCUUAAGCCUAUCAUCCCGAAACUAGACGAGCUACUCCGGAGCAGCAUGAAAGAGCAAACCCAUCUCUGUGGCAAAAGAGUGGGAAGACUCCCGAGUAGCGGUGACAAACCUAUCGAGCCUAGUGAUAGCUGGUUACCCAAAAAAAGAACUUCAAUUCUGCAUUAACUUUUUUAAUGUCAACUAAGAACAUCUCCAAAAGACUGAACAUAAAAAUUAAUAGUUAUUCAAAAAAGGUACAACUUUUUUGAAUCAAGAUACAACUUUUCAAGGUGGGUAAUGAUCAUAUUUACCAAGGACCAUUCCAUCAGUGGGCCUAAAAGCAGCCAUCUGUAAAGCAAGCGUCAUAGCUCCAGCCCAUAAUGAAACCUAUAAUUUAGAUAUUAUUUCCAAACCCCCUUAACCAAUAUUGGGUUAUUUUAUAAGAUUAUAAAAGAACUUAUGCUAAAAUGAGUAAUAAGAGGCUAAACCUCUCCCAACACCAGUGUAUAUCAGAAAGAAUUAAAUCACUGAUAAUUAAACGACCUCAAACUGAGAAAAUUAUAGAAAUUUAUUAUUAACUAGAAAAACCUAUUUAAUUACUCGUUAAUCCUACACAGGAGUGUUAUAAGGAAAGAUUAAAAGAAAAUAAAGGAACUCGGCAAACAUAAACUCCGCCUGUUUACCAAAAACAUCGCCUCUUGUUUUACCAUUAUAAGAGGUCCCGCCUGCCCUGUGACAAUGUUUAACGGCCGCGGUAUUUUGACCGUGCGAAGGUAGCGUAAUCACUUGUCUUUUAAAUGAAGACCCGUAUGAAAGGCAUCACGAGAGUUUAACUGUCUCUAUUUUCUAAUCAAUGAAAUUGAUCUUCCCGUGCAGAAGCAGGAAUAUUAUCAUUAGACGAGAAGACCCUAUGGAGCUUCAAACACUUAAGCUAAUUUAUGUAAAAUAUUAUUUCCCAUGGGUAUAAACAUUUAUACUCUACUUCUAACUUAACUGUUUUCGGUUGGGGUGACCAAGGAGGAGAAGAAAGCCUCCUUAUCGACUGAGUAUUUAAUACUUAAAAAAUAGAAUAACAAUUCUAAUUAAUAAAACAUUUAUCGAAAAAUGACCCAGAAUUAAUCUGAUCAAUGAACCAAGUUACCCUAGGGAUAACAGCGCAAUCCUUUCCUAGAGUCCCUAUCGCCGAAAGGGUUUACGACCUCGAUGUUGGAUCAGGACAUCCUAAUGGUGCAACCGCUAUUAAGGGUUCGUUUGUUCAACGAUUAACAGUCCUACGUGAUCUGAGUUCAGACCGGAGAAAUCCAGGUCAGUUUCUAUCUAUGAACUUAUUUUUCCUAGUACGAAAGGACCGGAAAAAUGGAGCCAAUAUUCCAAGUAAGCUCCUUUUUCAUCUACUGAAAUUAUCUAAAGUAGAUAAGAAAAAAUUAUACAAAACCCAAGAUAAGGGUUAUUAAGGU